CAGCAGCCGCGGUAAUACGGAGGGGGCUAGCGUUGUUCGGAAUUACUGGGCGUAAAGCGCACGUAGGCGGCUUGGUAAGUUAGAGGUGAAAGCCCGGAGUUCAACUCCGGAAUUGCCUUUAAGACUGCCGAGCUAGUAGGUGAGAGAGGUAAGUGGAAUUCCGAGUGUAGAGGUGAAAUUCGUAGAUAUUCGGAAGAACACCAGUGGCGAAGGCGGCUUACUGGCUCAUCCUAGACGCUGAGGUGCGAAAGCGUGGGGAGCAAACAGGAUUAGAUACCCCAGUAGUCCCUGUCUCUUAUAC
rnacentral:rRNA from 1 species